AACGCACCUUGCGCCCUUUGGCUAUUCCGAAGGGCAUGCCUGUUUGAGUAUCAUGAACACCUCAACUCUCAUGGCUUGCCAUGACGAGCUUGGACUUUGGGGGUCUUGCCGGCCUGCGGUCGGCUCCUCUCAAAUGAAUCAGCUUACCAGUGUUUGGUGGCAUCACAGGUGUGAUAACUAUCUACGCUUGUGGUUUUCCACCAGGUAACCUUCAGUGAUGGAGGUUUGCUGGGGCUCAUAAAUGUCUCUCCUCAGUGAGGACAGCUCUUUGAACAUUUGAUCUCAAAUCAGGUAGGACUACCCGCUGAACUUAA
rnacentral:misc_RNA from 2 species